rnacentral:rRNA from 1 species
AGAGUUUGAUCAUGGCUCAGAACGAACGCUGGCGGCGUGCUUAACACAUGCAAGUCGAACGGGACCUUCGGGUCUAGUGGCGGACGGGUGAGUAAUACAUAGGUAAUCUGCCUUUAAGUGGGGGACAACACUCCGAAAGGAAUGCUAAUACCGCGUAAUGUCAUCGAUUGGAAUAUUGAUGAAGAAAGAUUUAUCGCUUUUAGAGGAGCCUAUGGUUGAUUAGCUAGUUGGUGGGGUAAAAGCCUACCAAGGCGACGAUCAAUAGCUGGUCUGAGAGGACGAUCAGCCACACUGGGACUGAGACACGGCCCAGACUUCUACGGAAGGCAGCAGUGGGGAAUUUUCCGCAAUGGGCGCAAGCCUGACGGAGCGACGCCGCGUAUGGGAUGAAGUAUUUAGGUAUGUAAACCAUUGUCAGUGGGGACGAAACAAAUGACGGUACCCACAGAGA